GCGUGCGGGAAGAAGGCCUUCGGGUUGUAAACCGCUUUUGUCAGGGACGAAAAGGUGCGGGUUAAGAGCUAGCACUGAUGACGGUACCUGAAGAAUAAGCACCGGCUAACUACGUGCCAGCAGCCGCGGUAAUACGUAGGGUGCGAGCGUUAAUCGGAAUUACUGGGCGUAAAGCGUGCGCAGGCGGUUGGGUAAGACAGAUGUGAAAUCCCCGGGCUUAACCUGGGAACUGCAUUUGUGACUGUCCGACUGGAGUAUGUCAGAGGGGGGUGGAAUUCCAAGUGUAGCAGUGAAAUGCGU
rnacentral:rRNA from 1 species